rnacentral:rRNA from 1 species
GCAUAUCAAUAAGCGGAGGAAAAGAAACCAACCGGGAUUGCCUCAGUAACGGCGAGUGAAGCGGCAAGAGCUCAAAUUUGAAAGCUGGCCCCUUCGGGGUCCGCGUUGUAAUUUGCAGAGGAUGCUUCGGGUGCGGCCCCUGUCUAAGUGCCCUGGAACGGGCCGUCAGAGAGGGUGAGAAUCCCGUCUUGGGCAGGGUGCCCGUGCCCGUGUGAAGCUCCUUCGACGAGUCGAGUUGUUUGGGAAUGCAGCUCUAAAUGGGUGGUAAAUUUCAUCUAAAGCUAAAUACCGGCCGGAGACCGAUAGCGCACAAGUAGAGUGAUCGAAAGAUGAAAAGCACUUUGAAAAGAGAGUUAAACAGCACGUGAAAUUGUUGAAAGGGAAGCGCUUGCGACCAGACUCGGCCCCGGGGUUCAGCCAGCACUCGUGCUGGUGUACUUCCCCGGGGGCGGGCCAGCGUCGGUUUGGGCGGCCGGUCAAAGGCCCCAGGAAUGUAUCGCCCUCCGGGGUUGUCUUAUAGCCUGGGGUGCAAUGCGGCCAGCCCGGACCGAGGAACGCGCUUCGGCACGGACGCUGGCGUAAUGGUCGCAAACGACCCGUCUUGAAACACGGACCAAGGAGUCUAACAUCUACGCGAGUGUUCGGGUGUCAAACCCGUACGCGCAGUGAAAGCGAACGGAGGUGGGAGCCCCCCCGGGGCGCACCAUCGACCGAUCCUGAUGUCUUCGGAUGGAUUUGAGUAAGAGCGUAGCUGUGGGGACCCGAAAGAUGGUGAACUAUGCCUGAAUAGGGCGAAGCCAGAGGAAACUCUGGUGGAGGCUCGCAGCGGUUCUGACGUGCAAAUCGAUCGUCAAAUUUGGGUAUAGGGGCGAAAGACUAAUCGAACCAUCUGGUAGCUGGUUCCUGCCGAA